UUCUCCGCCGCCCCCACUAUUUCGGACAUUGGCGGCACAAUCUGCCUGCCAUGUUUGCAUUGGGUUUCAUAUAGGUGCCCUAUCACCUGUACACACCAUCAAGAAAGUCGUUCCAACUCUAUAAAUAUACCUCUUCCCAAAGACGGGGUGAGUUUAUAGGGAAGAGGAGAGAAGAGAAUGCAUAGAUGGAGGGGUUGUUCAAUUGCGAAUCUCAGUCUGAAUCUGGGUCUCAAUUUGUUAAGGGUUCCAGCUGUGAAGAUCUGGAGCUAGUCAAGCGCCUAGGCCAGGGCCACAUGAGCACGGUUUUCUUGGCUGUCCAUCGUGGCACCAACAAAGCUUUUGCGGUCAAAGUGAUGAACAAGGAACUUCUUCAACAGAGAAAAGCCUACAAAUUGGCAGCUACUGAGAUCAUCCAUUUCUGCCGUCUCUGCUUACUCACUUUGAGUCGGACACUCAUACAUUUCUGGCCAUGGAGUAUUGUUCUGGUGGAGAUAUUAACGUGUUGAGGCAUAGGCAACCCAGUAAAACCUUUUCAGAGUCUACCAUAAGUCAGUGGGUAUCGUGGGAUCCUGGUGCAUAAACGCCUUCUGUAUAGUUGGAGACUUUUUGAGAGAAUAAAAAUAAUUGAAAACUUUGUAGCAUUAUCUUUGUUACUGUAUUGUGCAGACUUCUUUUGUCUAUAUAUAUAUUAGUUAGAUUCCUCAAGGUGAAUGAGUUACAUUGAAUUCAAUUUUUUGGGUGACGUGUCUUCAUCCAUGCGCAGGUUUUACGCGGCAGAGGUGGUUGUAGCGUUGGAGUAUUUGCACGAGAAAGGAAUAUUAUACCGAGAUCUGAAGCAGGAGAACAUAUUGGUUCAAGACAGCGGGCACAUAAUGCUCACUGAUUUUGAUCUGUCCCUGCGUCUCAUAUCUGAUCAUGGCGAAUAUAGUGAAUGGAAGUCUCGUUCGUUUGUGGGUACAGAAGAGUACAUCGCACCGGAGGUCCUGUGGGGCAAAUUCCACUCCUACCCUGUCGACUGGUGGUCUUUCGGCGUCUCUCUGUACGAAAUGAGUCACGGGAGGACGCCUUUUAGGGGGUUUAGUUGAAAGGACACCUUUGUCAAUAUUUUGAGCAAGGACCCCUUUUUCUCAUCGUCAUCUCCUCUCGACGAUCUCAUUCAGAAGCUCCUUGCGAAAAAGCCGACAGAGAGGUUAAGCAGAAAGCAAAUAAAAAGCCACCCGUUCUUUCGGGGCAUGAGAUGGGAGCAACUGCAGUUUGUUUCGAGGCCUCCUUUUGUGCCACCGUUCUCCCCUGAACCUGCACUCAGUUUUCACAGAGAGAAUGAAGAAGAAGAAGAAGAAGAAGAAGAAGCAGACAUGGACAUUAAAUCCGAUGGCUACAGCUCUGUGGAAUGUGAGAUUAAAGAAGACAACACGAGCAAAUUUAUAUUUGGGGAGUUUUGAGACGGUAUGCUGUCCUCACUCCAGCUGAUGGUAUCGCACUGUCCACAAUAUAAGACGUUUGUUGCCCAUGCCGAUGGGAGCCUGAAUUUGACGGUGCAUCCUGCCUGUCAAAUAGAUCUUGUGCCGGUGAAAUACAAAGGAAUACUUUAUGUCCAAAAUAUGUACAUAUUUAG